rnacentral:rRNA from 1 species
UACGUAGGGUGCGAGCGUUAAUCGGAAUUCCUGGGCGUAAAGCGUGCGCAGGCGGUCUGUUAAGACCGAUGUGAAAUCCCCGGGCUUAACCUGGGAACUGCAUUGGUGACUGGCAGGCUUUGAGUGUGGCAGAGGGAGGUAGAAUUCCACGUGUAGCAGUGAAAUGCGUAGAGAUGUGGAGGAAUACCGAUGGCGAAGGCAGCCUCCUGGGCCAACACUGACGCUCAUGCACGAAAGCGUGGAGAGCAAACAGG